rnacentral:rRNA from 1 species
GAUGAACGCUGGCGGCGUGCCUAAUACAUGCAAGUCGAGCGAACGGACGAGAAGCUUGCUUCUCUGAUGUUAGCGGCGGACGGGUGAGUAACACGUGGAUAACCUACCUAUAAGACUGGGACAACUUCGGGAAACCGUAGCUAAUACCGGAUAAUAUUUUGAACCGCAUGGUUCAAAAGUGAAAGACGGUCUUGCUGUCACUUAUAGAUGGAUCCGCGCUGCAUUAGCUAGUUGGUAAGGUAACGGCUUACCAAGGCAACGAUGCAUAGCCGACCUGAGAGGGUGAUCGGCCACACUGGAACUGAGACACGGUCCAGACUCCUACGGGAGGCAGCAGUAGGGAAUCUUCCGCAAUGGGCGAAAGCCUGACGGGGCAACGCCGCGUGAGUGAUGAAGGUCUUCGGAUCGUAAAACUCUGUUAUUAGGGAAGAACAUAUGUGUAAGUAACUGUGCACAUCUUGACGGUACCUAAUCAGAAAGCCACGGCUAACUACGUG